GGAGGCCACAAACCAUGGAAGCUGUAACGCAUGGUGUAGUGGACUAGCGGUUAGAGGAGACCCCUCCCUUAAG
rfam:Dengue virus type 2 strain DakArD20761 3' non-coding region, partial sequence.